rnacentral:rRNA from 1 species
UACGGAGGGUGCAAACGUUGCUCGGAAUCAUUGGGCGUAAAGCGCACGUAGGUGGCCUGUUAAGUCGGGUGUGAAGUCCCUGGGCUCAACCCAGGAAGUGCACUCGAAACUGGCGGGCUUGAGUACUGAAGAGGGUCGCGGAAUUCCCGGUGUAGAGGUGAAAUUCGUAGAUAUCGGGAGGAACACCAGUGGCGAAGGCGGCGACCUGGGCAGAUACUGACACUGAGGUGCGAAAGCGUGGGGAGCAAACAGG